rnacentral:rRNA from 1 species
UGGGGAAUAUUGGACAAUGGGCGCAAGCCUGAUCCAGCCAUGCCGCGUGGAUGAUGAAGGCCCUAGGGUUGUAAAGUCCUUUCGGCGGGGAAGAUAAUGACGGUACCCGCAGAAGAAGCCCCGGCUAACUUCGUGCCAGCAGCCGCGGUAAUACGAAGGGGGCUAGCGUUGCUCGGAAUCACUGGGCGUAAAGCGCACGUAGGCGGACUCUUAAGUCGGUGGUGAAAUCCUGGAGCUCAACUCCAGAACUGCCUUCGAUACUGAGAGUCUCGAGUCCGAGAGAGGUGAGUGGAACUGCGAGUGUAGAGGUGAAAUUCGUAGAUAUUCGCAAGAACACCAGUGGCGAAGGCGGCUCACUGGCUCGGUACUGACGCUGAGGUGCGAAAGCGUGGGGAGCAAACAG